AAAAUAGAAUUCCAAACUAAAUUCUUUACUUCUUGCUUUUUGGGCUUGUCAAAGAUUUUUCGCCUUUAAAUGCAUUUAUGGCUCGAAAGUAAUUGAGCUCGAUUGACUUAUAUGCUUUUUAAAGACUCGGCCGACAAUCGAUUCUCGGGAAACAAAUAAUAUCUUGCUCUUUAUGGAUAACACUGAUUUUGGCAAAGAAUAAAUUUUCAACUUUGUUGGAUUUUAGCCGACUUUCAUCGCAUGGCUUGAGGUGCUCAAUUACCACCAGCGCAUUCAUCGUUGCCACCAAUCUAUUAUAUGGCAGUCCAAUUAAGAUAUGUAUUGCCUACUUUUAAGCGCGAGUUAAUGCAAAAACAUUGCUAAAAUGACGUCAAAUCAUUAUAUUUUGCACGACAAUCGGUGCACAGUACUUUUUAUCGUAAUAAAUUCAAGUUCGGUUUUCUCAUUAGUGUUUUCGCUGGCAGCCGGUCGUGUUGUGUAUAUUAAAUGUGUGUGUAAAGUGUUUGAAAAAUAAGUGCAGUGAAGUUGUGAGGUGAAAUAUAUAAAAUAAGUUUAAUAAAGUGUUAUUUAUAGUGAAAAAAUAUAGAAAAAAAAGUUUAUAGUGGUGAAAAAUAUAGAAAAAAAAUUUAUAGUGGUGAAAAAUGUAAAAAAAAAUGUGUUUUGUGCAUUCGAAAAGUGAAGUGUUUGUGAAAGUGCAAUGAAAAUGGAAGGAGUAAAAGAAGCUGUGAAGCGGAAAACCAGUCAACAUCAAGCAGACGAUACGAUCUUUGUAAAUGGAGCAGGUAAGUCACAAUUACUUAAUGAUAAAUACUUAAUUGGCCAGGAAACAGCUGCGACACCUCGCGUCCAUAUGGCCUGCCUGCGUGGCUGCCUGGAUGUCGAUGCAUCAACUGAUUGACACCGAAGUGCAGUGGAAUGCAACGGAAGGCUGUUAAGCAACGAAGCAUUCAAGCAUAUUUCAAGUGACAGCUGUUGCAUGCUGGCUGAUGAAUGGCAGCGAAGCAAGACUAUAAAUGAUUAGAGGGACAAGGUGAUCGAAUGCUGCCAAGGAAGUGCCGAGAAACAUAAUUGAUUCCGCAAAUGGACGCAUGAGAUCGCUUG